rnacentral:lncRNA from 1 species
GGCAAUGGGCUAAAAUGAACCUGGUUCAGUAACAGAGUGGUUAUUUCCAAGAAAUCAUUACGUCUGCCACAUAAGGUGACUCUGAGAGGGCUUCUGGAUGGCUCUUGGAUAGGGGCUGGUGACCAGAAUGACCAAGCCGCAGUCAGAAGUUUGGAAUUUUCAACUCCACGUCUCAUUUUCCAGAGAAGGUAGAGGGGCUGGAAAUGGACUUAAUAAUUGAUCAUGCCUACAUGAGGAAGCCUCCAUAAAAUCACGACAGUAUGGGGUUUGGGGAGCAUCUGGUUUGGGGAACACAUCCGCAUACAAGGAGAGUGAUGCACUCCAACUCCAUGGGGAAAAAAUUCCUACGCUCUGGACCCUCCAAACUUCGCUCUAUAUCCCUUCAUCUGGCUGUUCAUCUGUAUCUUUCGUCACAUCCUUUAAUAAACUGGUAAACCUAGCCCUCCAGUACAUAGUCGUAUAUUCUCCGUUAUGGGUCCUUCUAGUUGUGGCAUGUGGGAUGCUGCCCCAGCGUGGUUUGACGAGCAGUGCCAUGUCCGCGCCCAGGAUUCGAACCAACGAAACACUGGGCUGCCUGCAGCGGAGCACGCGAACUUAACCACUCGGCCACGGGCCCAGCCCCGAAUACUCAUAUAUUUUUAAAUUCUGUUCUGUUUAGUCAAUUGGCAUUAAAUAGUGUUUGAAUUGUGUCCUGAAAUAUAAUAAUUAAAAGAUCUAAUAAAAAGAACUGCCACUGAAAAGACAGACGUACACAAGAGAACACUAUGUGAAGAUCCGAGUUAUGCUGCCGGUAGCUGGGAGAGUCCUGAACAGAUCUCUCCCUAGGACCUUCCGAGAGAACAUGGUCCCAGCACCCUAUUUUUGAACUUCUGACCUCUAGAACUAUGAGACAAUAAAUUUCUGUUAUUCAAAGCCACCCAGUUUGUGGUAUUCUGUCAUGGCAGCUUUAGAAAACUAAUAUAAUUAGAUUUACUAUUUUGUGUUACACUGAGAAGACACAAAGAUAACGAGUACAUGAUCCCAAAUUAACCAGUAAACAGCUAAUACAAUGAAGUUUGCUAAAUAUAAGGAAAGAUGUUUGUCAUAGGUGAGGUUCUCUGAUAAGCACACCGUAAGCUACAGAUCUGAGUGCAUGUGACUUGUUUACGGAGGCCCCAGAAAGAGUGUGAAAGAAGCAGGAUAGAAAAGCAGAUAAGUUUAGCAAGAGUGAGGUUUAAGUUGAAGUCUCAGACACAAGCUAAUCCCA